UGGGGAAUAUUGGACAAUGGGCGCAAGCCUGAUCCAGCCAUGCCGCGUGAGUGAUGAAGGCCUUAGGGUUGUAAAGCUCUUUUAGCAGGGAAGAUAAUGACGGUACCUGCAGAAAAAGCCCCGGCUAACUUCGUGCCAGCAGCCGCGGUAAUACGAAGGGGGCUAGCGUUGCUCGGAACUACUGGGCGUAAAGCGCACGUAGGCGGACUCUUAAGUCGGUGGUGAAAUCCUGGAGCUCAACUCCAGAACUGCCUUCGAUACUGGGAGUCUUGAGUUCGGGAGAGGUGAGUGGAACUGCGAGUGUAGAGGUGAAAUUCGUAGAUAUUCGCAAGAACACCAGUGGCGAGGCGGCUCACUGGCCCGAUACUGACGCUGAGGUGCGAAAGCGUGGGGAGCAAACA
rnacentral:rRNA from 1 species